AUAUGCUUGAAAAUGUUUAAAAACCUUUUUCUUUGGAUCUUGUGCAUCUGUGAAGCAGUAUCAUAUUUCUCUAGAUUUAGCAUAUUUAAAUUAAGUCCGCCUAUUAUCCAUGCAUGGAUGCUUCAUUUCACUAGACUAUAGGAUGCCUUCAUGCCUCCUUGUUUUCUUCCAUUCUCAGGCUGAUAAAAUCCAGAAAGCAAUAAAACAUCAGCUGAAGGAACUGCAGGGGCAGGAGUCAGGAUCAUGUUAAAGUGCAAGAAGAGGAUAAAAACCAAGUGUGUGAGGACAAUGUUCAGGCUGAGGAAGAUGCUGUUUGCAAAGAAGCAGCUUCUAACGUUGACAUGUUUGUAACAACAUGUCGAGGGAAAGAAAAUGCCAUCAAAAGAAAACUCAACAAUCCUGCAGCAGACUGUGAUGCAAAGAUGACCCCAAAGGGUGAUGAAAAGGUUGAUGCACAAAGCAAGCCCUGCAGUGCACAAAGAAAGAAGGAAAAAGCUGUCCUCUGACAAGGAAUCUGAAAAAACUGGAUUUGAGGCCCAAGAAAGUGGAUGUGACCAACAGCAUGAAGCACCUGCAGGAAAGGGACCAAAAGUGUUGAAAGGUGGCAGAACCCCUCGCUACCAAAGGCUCCAGCAGAAGAACAAGACUAAUACACC